rnacentral:rRNA from 1 species
GACGAAGGGGGCUAGCGUUGUUCGGAAUUACUGGGCGUAAAGCGCGUGUAGGCGGUUGGCCAAGUUGGAUGUGAAAGCCUUGAGCUCAACUCAAGAAAUGCAUUCAGGACUGGAUGACUAGAGGACCGGAGAGGAUAGUGGAAUUCCCAGUGUAGUGGUGAAAUACGUAGAGAUUGGGAAGAACACCAGUGGCGAAGGCGGCUAUCUGGACGGUUUCUGACGCUAAGACGCGAAAGCGUGGGGAGCAAACAGG